UACAGAGGGGGCAAGCGUUGUUCGGAAUUACUGGGCGUAAAGGGCGCGUAGGCGGCCUUCUAAGUCGAACGUGAAAUCCCCGGGCUCAACCCGGGAACUGCGUCCGAUACUGGAAGGCUUGAAUCCGGGAGAGGGAUGUGGAAUUCCAGGUGUAGCGGUGAAAUUCGUAGAUAUCGGGAGGAACACCAGUGGCGAAGGCGGCGAUCUGGGAAGAUACUGACGCUGAGGUGCGAAAGCGUGGGGAGCAAACAGG
rnacentral:rRNA from 1 species